AUUCUAAUGGGUUAAAUUGGGUUCACUUUUUCAAUUAUCCCAGGUUUGACUGCGUAGUAUUGCAUGACAACUCACAAUUUCAUCGGGUUUGGCAAAGCGAGCGUGCUCCGCGAGUACGUAUAUCAUAUCACAUCAGAUCAGGCUGAAGUUUGCUGUUUAGCGACUCCAUUCGCGAGUCGCUUUUGGUAGAAGUGGGAAGGGUUGCUGCAGUCCGCGGCUGGUUCGGCACGAUUCGGAACAAAAAAAAACCGCGGCGAGAUGGCAACAAGACGGGGUUCGCCGCUCGGCUAUGAAUGAGCACAGAACGAACCGAGCGACACGAUGGGGAACCGCUCCGCUCGCCGCAAUAUUUUUAGCAGCCUCUCAGCCCUCGCCUUUUUUUAAUUUCCUAAUAUGUUCUUUGCUUUAUUAGUUUUAUUUACAACCGGCUCCCAUUAACACCUCACCUGAUUACUGAGGAGCUGAGACAGCUAAGCAGGAAAACCCAGCAAAGCGGCCAAAGCUGAGAGGAACAAGGACCCACCUCCAUCUCCCGGCUGAGCACCGCGCCUCUCCCCACCCAGACCGCAGCCCUCGCCGCUCAUAAAGGAGGGCACAGUUUGGGAAGAAGCUCCUAAGGUCGCAAGUCCAGAAUGGUCGCUCCCCCAGGUGCUUUCGCAGUCAGCAUUCGGUGCGGGUGUUUUAAGCUGGACAAACACCAGCCUGGGAAGUCCGAGCCGUUCUGUUUAAUAAAUACGGAGCUGUGUUCU
rnacentral:lncRNA from 7 species